UGAGCUUGAGGUCAGGACCUGAACUGAAAUCCAGAGUCGGAUGCUUGACCGACUGAGCCACCCGGGCACCCCUAGACUCCUUAUUUUAAAAUGAGGUGGGCACAAACAAUAUUUAUUCAGUUAAAAACCACUUUUCAUCUAGUAAGAUAAAUGAAUUCACGACAGAUUAAAAUAACGUGGAACCUGAAAAGUGCCUUGAAAGGUAUUCAGAGUGUCUUCCGACACUGGACGUACACAAACCCUAUGUCCCUGGGGUCCUGCUCCCAGUUCCUUAUGCAGCAGAAAUGCAUUCACCGGUUCACCAGAAGCCAUGGACCAGAAUGUUCACCGCAGCACUGGAAAGUGGCCAAAUGCCCAUCAACAGUGCAAUGAAGAAAUGAGCUGUGAUAUAUUCACAUGACGCGAUAUGAUACAGCAAUGACAAUGAACAAUACAGCGAGUCCCACAAACAAUGCCAAUAAACACAUGAAGGAAGCCAUUUGCAAGAGUACGCUUGGAUUCCAUUCAGAUGAAUAGAAACAGAGUAAACUAAGCCAUACAGGUUACAUGGGUGUACUGAGUUUUUGAACACUGACCUGUGCAAAUUCACGUUCUUUUCUCAAUGUACGUCGCCCUGAAAGGUGUUAAAAAAUGGCACAUAAAGUGGCUUUAGCAGGAAAAGAAGUUGAAUCUGAUUUAGAAGAAAGAGAAGUGGCAUCAGGAAGCUUUCCAGAGAACGACGCUGUUCAGUGGAAGGAGCAGGAGUUUGGGGAGGGACGGCAAAUCCUACCCUGUGGCGUUGCCGGGGACAUGAGGAACACUGUGUAAAGUGCCAGGCACAUGCCGGGGCCUGCAGAGGCCGGAUUGAUGACGGCUGUUGCCAUCGGUAGACCAGCCGACAUUCCUGCAGAGCCAUGAGAAACGCCUGGGAUUCAGACAGGCGGGGAGUGACAGCGGUGCGACAUUAACAAAACCGAACACGGCUUUGAGAGAUGGUUGGGCUCGGGGCAGGGCAGGUGUGUGUGGGGAGGCACCGCCACCAUGGACUUUGCCUGUCCCGUGCCCCGCCCCCCCCCCCCCCCCCCCCCCCCCCGCCCCCGGGCCUGGGCUUGGCCUACAGCAGGCACUCGUUCGUAUUUGGCUGGAUCGAACGAGCAGUUGAAAGAAUGAGGGAGGAACAGUGGAAGGGAAUGGGAGUUGGGGACCCUGUGGUGGACACUUGGGCAUGUCGGGCUGAUAAGUUCUACUUAACUUCUACACAUGAAGCACUGCAAGCGGGAGGUGGUCUGAAACUGUUAAAGGCAGAGGGCUCGCCCCAGAGCGGCACUCGUCAGUGGUGGCAGGAACAGUCCCACCCUGUUACCUGCCUACGUGAGGGAAGUGCAGACACAGACGAAGCAGCCUGAAAGGCGAGCAGCAGUUUGACAGACCGGUCAAGCUUUAUCUUUUUGAAUCUGAUUUAAAAUAAUGGGCUCGCACUGUGUACUUUUUGCUUUGUACAAGAUCUCUAAUGAAACUAAUGUCACUGUACAGGUCCUCGUUGGAUUGGGAUGUAGGAACAGGAACGGGGCUUCGCCCCCAGGUAGUUGGGAAAGAGCACUGAACCGGAGGCUGAACGUGAGAGGCUGUUCUCCGGUCCCCACCAGUCUGGUUGGGAAGUCCCGUGUGCUCAGCAAGCUGGGAGCCCCCUGCCUGCCCGAGGCUCCCCUGUUCUGACGCACCAGCAGAUGAGAACACCCCGGUCAUUGUCCUGGGCGGGACUCCAUGGAUGGUUGAUUUCACUCUCCCAGACCUGACUCUGCCUGCUGGUAACUGACAACCCCUGUGUGUGCAAACAGGGGAGCCGCUGGGGAGCCUGCUGUGUGUCCCACUGAAUAUGUGCCUGAAGAGGGGCAUUGACUCGGCGACUGUCUUUCCACAAGAAGGGGUUCCAGUCAGCAGGGAGCCCCUCAUUCCUCUGCUAAGUGCUGUUUCCCAAACUCUGAUCAUCUGAACACACUGGAGACAAAGGAGGGGUCAUUGCUCCUCACCAGAGUUGGGGAACAGUUUGUAGCAGUCUCCUCUUCCUGGGGUUCCCUCUGUGAGCAUACAUGAUUAAAAUAAAAUUCAGUAAAAAAAACAAAAACGAAAACAGACAAAAAAAAAACAAAGAACAACAACAAAAAAAAACCGAAGAUGCUUUGUCCAGACCCCUUCUGGUUGCACGUGAGAGAAAACCAAACCCCAAAUGAUGUCAAAGGGAAUUCAAUCAUGUAAUUGAAAACUCCAGAGUCACAAUCGUUCUAUCUCGUCACAAUCAUUUUUUCAAAUACAAAAGUCCUAGGUCACAAUCUUCUGUGAAUGUAGAAAGGAUGAUACCCAGAGCCCUGGAGGAUGAGGCACGCUGGAUCUCCUAGACAGUUUAAAGUUUUACCUGCCCUAGUAGGUAAAACCUACUUACCUGGCACCUUACUCCCUGUCUCAUGGGAACAUUUACUCCCACCUCCCACUUCCCGUUUGCUCAUCCUGCUCCCAUUUUGUCUGCUGACUUUAUCCCAUGCUGCAGGAGUAGGCAUGUGGUCCAAGGUUGGCCAAUCAGAACAUUGUGCAAACUUCUGGCCACAGGGAUUGGAUCCACGCUGGGCAUGUGACCCAAACCAAGCUAAUCAGGUCAAGCUGGAGUUAAUCUUGCCUGCUGGCUUGUGUGGUCAGAGCAGAGAAUGGUCUCCUUUUCACCAGAGUUUGAGGUGUUGGCAGCCAUCUUGCCACCAUGAGGGCAGAGCUGGUCUGAGAGGAACACCAUCAGAGGAGGAAACAACAGGAGAUAGAAGCCAGAUCAUGAUGCUAUAGAUCCUACCUCCUGGAUCCACUUGUGUCUGAAGCAAGGAUAGCUCUGGAUUAGCAAAUACUGUUCAUAAGCUUUUUUUGCACCGUUUGAGACUGGGUUUUUGUCACAUGCAGCCAAAAGAGUCUUGAGCGGGCAUCUCGAUUUUAUAUUUUAAUUACUUUUCUGUCAUUUCCGCCUUAAAUAAAGGAUGCUCAACAUAA